rnacentral:rRNA from 1 species
UGGGGAAUUUUGGACAAUGGGCGCAAGCCUGAUCCAGCCAUGCCGCGUGCAGGAAGAAGGCCUUCGGGUUGUAAACUGCUUUUGUCAGGGAAGAAAUCCUUUGGGCUAAUACCCCGGAGGGAUGACGGUACCUGAAGAAUAAGCACCGGCUAACUACGUGCCAGCAGCCGCGGUAAUACGUAGGGUGCGAGCGUUAAAUCGGAAUUACUGGGCGUAAAGCGUGCGCAGGCGGCUUUGCAAGACAGAUGUGAAAUCCCCGGGCUCAACCUGGGAACUGCAUUUGUGACUGCAAGGCUAGAGUGCGGCAGAGGGAGAUGGAAUUCCGCGUGUAGCAGUGAAAUGCGUAGAUAUGCGGAGGAACACCGAUGGCGAAGGCAAUCUCCUGGGCCUGCACUGACGCUCAUGCACGAAAAGCGUGGGGAGCAAAACNGGAUUAAUNCCCUGGUAGUCCACGCCCUAAAANGAUGU